AGUAGCACACUGAGCUUCCCUUGUGGGCACUGAGGAAGAAGCUAAACGCCUCCGUGCUGCAAGGAGUCACAUGGAAACCUACAAGUUUGGGAGGUGAGGAGCCCGGUUCCCUUAGGGCAGAAAUCACCCACUGCGUCCAACUGGGCAAGGCUACUCUGAGCUAUCUUGAAAAUUUUGAUUAUUUUAAUGCUAAAACAUCUUUAUUUAUCUAAAUAAAACUGCAGUUAUGCUAUUAGUGUCUCCCCAUCCUGUUCCCCCCUCCUUCUGUAUUUUGUAUGGCAUGAUAGGAAACUGCAGGCAUCUUUUCAAUAUUGUUUUAUUUCCUUCAGCAGUGAUUAGAAAUGGACUUAGCUUGGCAGGAAACACUAAAGAAGGCCGGCAAAGAGACGGCUUGGCCCUCUCAUGCAAGAUUUCUCCAGAAGUAAAGAAGCACUACAGGGGACGUUCUGUCCCUUUGGAAGAGCUGCAGCCGCUGGCAAGAAGCAGCAACGCUGUGCAGCGACCAAGGAAACCAUUUCCAGGUUACCCAAACAUGCCAUUGAACUGAAUUUUGCAGCUGCAUCUUCCAAUGUACCAUGGGAUGCAUCAAAUCCAAGGAUGCCUUUCCGGGUUCAAACGCCAUCCUGGUUGAAGGGCGCAGGGAAGGUAACGAGGGAUGCACUGGGGAGAAAUCAUCGCUGAUAGCAGUGAUGGUGGACGAGAAGGGGCCGUCGAGCACCAUAGUGCUGGACUAUGCGCACCGCCUCUCCCACGAGAUUCUCGAUCAGGCGGUGAAGCAGUGGGCAGUGAGGGAGAGCAAAUACAGCGACAUUCCCUUCAUCGAGAGCGACGUGCCCUGAGCCUUCGCGCACAGUGCUGUGCUGUCUGCUGAGCAGUUCCACCCGGUACGAGUGCAAAUGAAGUAAAAUCAGCCCUGACUUGAGCAUAGUGCCACUAGCUGAAGGCGUUUGCAAGGAAAGGCUGGAAAAAAAUGCCUUUUAAUCUAUAUUGCUAAGAAAUUACUUGGAUUACACUAAAAUCUGUUAAUCGAGUGUUGUUUGUUAUCAGCCGUAAGUUGAGUGUAGUCUGUCUUCAUGUUGAGUGUGACCUGAAAUAAGUCUUAAAAAAAAGAGGAGGAAAAUAAUGCAGCUGCCUUGCAACUGAACAAGCACUGCCACCGAGGCCCCAGAGAUGCUUAAGAACAAAGCCCGGGUUAUUUUUAUGUACUGCAUAAAAAACCGUACGGCCUGUUGGUAGGUGAAAGUAAGGACUGUAUGCUUGGCAAAUCUGUCUGUGUUCUGCUGA
rnacentral:lncRNA from 1 species